rnacentral:rRNA from 1 species
AUACGUAGGUGGCAAGCGUUGUCCGGAAUUAUUGGGCGUAAAGCGCGCGCAGGCGGUCUUUUAAGUCUGAUGUGAAAGCCCACGGCUCAACCGUGGAAGGUCAUUGGAAACUGAGAGACUUGAGUACAGAAGAGGAAAGCGGAAUUCCACGUGUAGCGGUGAAAUGCGUAGAGAUGUGGAGGAACACCGGUGGCGAAGGCGGCUUUCUGGUCUGUAACUGACGCUGAGGCGCGAAAGCGUGGGGAGCAAACAGGAUUAGAUACCCUGGUAGUCCACGCCGUAAACGAUGAGUGCUAAGUGUUAGGGGGUUUCCGCCCCUUAGUGCUGCAGCUAACGCAUUAAGCACUCCGCCUGGGGAGUACGGCCGCAAGGCUGAA